AACCUACGGGAGGCAGCAGUAGGGAAUCUUCCACAAUGGACGAAAGUCUGAUGGAGCAACGCCGCGUGAGUGAAGAAGGGUUUCGGCUCGUAAAGCUCUGUUGGUAGUGGAGAAAGAUAGAGGUAGUAACUGGCCUUUAUUUGACGGUAAUUACUUAGAAAGUCACGGCUAACUACGUGCCAGCAGCCGCGGUAAUACGUAGGGGGCAAGCGUUGUACGGAUUUAUUGGGCGUAAAGCGAGUGCAGGCGGUGCAAUAAGGUUGA
rnacentral:rRNA from 1 species